UGGACAGAUUAUUGUAUUCUACUGUAUUCACGGCGUGAAACAGGGGAUUACACUGUUUUUAAACGGAAAGUGAAUCAAUUAACAUAAUAGACUCCU
rfam:Nicotiana attenuata strain TT chromosome 7, whole genome shotgun sequence.